rnacentral:tRNA from 1 species
UGCCGGGUCGUCUAAUGGUAGGACAACAGAUUUUGGAUCUGUCUAUCUAGGUUCGAGUCCUAGCCCGGCAG